rnacentral:lncRNA from 1 species
AUGGAGGUGAAGAGCCUGGAACUCGAUACUGAAAUCUCAGCAAGAGAGCUGCCAUUGGGUACAGUUUGUUUUGGAAUUAAAGCAAAUAUAUCCAGAAAUUGUACUCAGGAUAUUCAAAUAACAGUGACGGAGGCAGUGAAGGAACUUCAGUAUAGGAGAUGGCAUCUCAUUUCUUCACUGUUCUCACAAAGGUGACCAGCUGUGUGACAAAUCCUUGGAAUCUGGAGCUGACCCCUGAGGGGUGAGUUUUGUUUUUAUAUCGGGAAGGUUUGUGCAUUUGUUAAAAUGCUUUUAAUUAUAAGUAAUAAUACUUGAUUAACUGAAAUGUAGACAAAGGCAGCUUACUUUUCUUCACAUAAAGAGAAGGCCAGCUAUUCACCAGCUAUUCAUCUUCAGUUGGAUGGCUCAGGUUUCUGACUCCUCUUUCAGUCUUCUCCUGAUGGUCUUAAAAUGCCAGUUGCUGCAAACAUCAUAAACUUUGAUAAUCAUAUCUGAAGGCUGAAAAUCAUUGGGAUGUACAGGAAGGGAUGUUUCUGGGAUGGGAUGGCAAGUUCCUCACCCUGUGGGUCUCUUUUUAUUAGAAAAUAAUAUUUUUCUUUUUAGUAUUUUUGUUUAAUUUCAAUAGGUUUUUGGGAAACAGGUCGUGUUUGGUUACGUGCAUAAGUUCUUUAGUGGUGAUUUCUGAGAUUUUGGUGGACCCAUCAGCUGAGCAGUGUACACUAUACCCAAAGUGUAGUCUUUUAUCCCUCACCCCGCUUUCACCCUUUCACCUUAGUCCCCAAAGUCCAUUGUAUCAUUCUUGUCUUUGCAUCCUCGUAUCUUAGUUCCCACUUAUGAGUGAGAACAUACAAUGUUUGGUGUUCCAUUCCUGAAUUACUUCACAUGGAGUAAUGGUCUCCACUUCCAGGCUGCUGUGAAUGCCAUUAUUUAAUUCCUUUUUAUGGCUGAAUAGUAUUCCAUAAUACAUAUUUACCACAAUUUCUUUAUCCACUUGUUGACUGAUUGAUGGGCAUUUGUGCUGGUUCGAUAUCUUUGGACUUGUGAAUUGUGUUGUUAUAAACUUGCAUGUGCAAGUAUCUUUUUCAUAGAAUGACCUCUUUUCCUCUGGGUAGAUACCAAGUGGUGGGAUUGCUGGAUCAAUUGGUAGGUCUACUUUUGGUUCUUUAAGGAAUCUUCACACUGUUUUCCAUAGAGGUUGUACUACUUUACAUUCCUACUGGCAGUAUAGAAGUUUUCUCUGUUCACCACAUCCACUCCAACAUCUAUUAUUUUUUGAUUUUUUGAUUAUAGCCAUUCUUGCAGGAGUAAGGUGGAUCAUGUGGUUUUGAUUAGCAUUUCCCUGAUUACUAGUGACAUUGAGCAUUUUUUAGGAAAUAAUAUUUUUCUUGGAAGAUGCUCAAAUGAUACCCGCUUAAAUUGAUCAAAAUGGGAUCACAUGCCUGAUCCUAAACCAAUAACCGGUUAGGUAAAAAAGAAUUACCAUAAUUGGCUUAUCUUACUUUUCUUCCAUGCUUUGAGGGUAUGAGAGGAGCACACAUCCCACCCCGCAAUUGGAUUUCAUUAAACUAAAGAAAAAAGAGCAAAAGUGAGCCUUAUAGAAAACUGAUAGUACCUACCACAUCUUACCAUUUCAGCUUAGCAACUGGGCAUCACAAUCAUGUCAGGAUUUCUGUCCCUAUCAUGUUACCUAAUCAUAAAGCUCAUAUUUCAGUUUCCUGGUUGAUUUUUCUUGACAAAUUAGAAAGAUCU